UGAACACAAACCAGAACACACUAAACUUUUCCCGAGGCAGAGUCCAGUCGACGACUUUAUGACAAUCUUCCUGGAUGGAGUUUGCCUAAUACCUUCCAGUUGGUCAUGAGACAGUCAGGGGACUGAAAAUGUGUCACUUGAUUAAGUUUUUCAGGCUGAUAACAAGAAGGCUACUGUGUUAUGACAAAUUUGCUACCUUCUAUAACCGAGCAACGUGUUGAAUCUUGGGGAAUACUACAAAAUAUGGAUCAACAUGUGUGGUGAUGUAUCUGAUGGUUUCUGCAAGUCAGAGUUGCUUUUGAAUGAGCCCUAGUAUAGGAUCCAUUUCACUUUGGCUCUAGGACACACACAGCAGACCCCCCUUGUCCGCUGGCUCUUACAAUCUCUACGACUCUCUUUCAAGAUUAUCCCUGAGCCCUGGGUACAUGGAGUGUGUUGCAGGUGUAUUCACACCACCACAAAAUAGACACUCUACUUGGUGAGGGCUGAGAGCUUCAUUAUCUGUGGGUAUAAGACCCCUUCUUCUUAUUUUCCCAUUUCCUCUUUCUAUCACUUUUAUCCUGCUAUUUCCCUUCUCUAAAGAUCCCCCACCAAAUGCGCUAUGCAGCCCCAUGUGGGGCUAGGACCCACAGUGUAGGAAGUGUGGCUACAGAUGAUUUGAAGGAUGUGGGAGGAUGUGAAUUGGCUAUAUCCAAGUAGCAUGCCUUCU
rnacentral:lncRNA from 1 species